rnacentral:siRNA from 1 species
ACUCAUAAGAUCGUGACACGUGGU